UGCUGGCUUUGUGUUGUAAAAAGUUCAUGAAUUUUCAUAUGAACAAUUUUUUUUCAGGCUGUAGACAACAAAGACAUUGGAGGCGUUUACAUUUUCAUGAUGAGCUGCUGUGAAUGAGGACAUCUUACUUAUGCAAGUAGUAUUUACUGUGACGAAAUUUGACGGGUUCCGGGUGGGGCGUCUGAGCCCACGACACGUUUCGCAACAUACUCCCUCAGACCUGUUUUUCUGAGGUUAGGAUGGGUCUUGUGAAACAUACUGGUGGCUGCCAUUGUGGAGCUGUGAGGUUUGAAGUGUGGAGCUCUCCAGACCUCCAUGUGUUCCAUUGCAAGUAUGGACAUUCACUACAGAAUUAGCUGCAGUAUUUGUACAAAGAAACAAAAUCAUCAUUUCAUUGUCCCUAAAGACAACUUUACACUUUUGCAAGGAUUGGAUCAUCUGACCACAUAUACAUUUAACACUCACAAUGCGAAGCACACCUUCUGUAGAAACUGCGGCGUUCAGAGUUUCUACACGCCACGCUCCAACCCUGAUGGAUACGUGUGGGUGGCACUGGGAGCAGGCGGGUAAAGUGUCUUCUUAUUCAAGGACACAACGGCAGUGACUAGGAUGGCGGAAGCGAGGUUCAAACCUGCAACCCUGAAGUUGCUGGCGCAGCCGCUCUACCAACUGAGCUAUACCGCCCACGCAAACCCAAAGCCAUCUGAGCCGAUCAUACAGCAGAGGGAGGAGGGCAGCAGCCAGCUGAAAGGAAGUUCCAUGAAAGAAACAUACUUCCGGAGCAGGCCAACAGUCACCAAGGAGAGAAAACAGCAGUCUGGGGCAACAGGAAGAGACCUAGUUUGUAGUUAAUGUUCACUACAGCUGCACAUGAUUAUGAAUAUUGUAAGCCAUUUAUAACUGCAUACUCUGGUUCCAGGAAUGGAGGAUAGUGCAGGGAAGACUUCAAUGUCAAAAACUGAUUCAACUGUCUAAUAUAAAAUUUUUCUAACCACUUGAUCAACAAAUAUUUUACUAUUCCAAUUCAAUGAUUUGCCGGUAGUAUAUGGUUUUUCAAACAUAUUCUGUCUUUUUUGGGGACAUGAAACAGGAGGUGAUCUAAGCAAAAUCAAAAAGUGAAAAUUGCUUGUUUACAAAUGUGCAUUGUGUAAAAACAAAACAAUUACCUAUCUUUUUCUGAGAAAAUAUUGUUGGUGUCUCCAAUGCUUUUGCAUGUGAAUGAAACCCCCAAUAAAAUGAUUUAAAAACAAAA